UCUUUUUAGAGGUCCGACCCCUUCAUUUCCUUACACUGUGCACACACUUCUUUUUACACCAUUUUUAACACAUCAGUCUAAGAAUGUAAAUAGUCUCUUAAUUGAGCAUAAAACAAAUAAAACUUUCAGCAACGGAUCUCUUGGCUCUCGCAUCGAUGAAGAACGCAGCGAAUUGCGAUAAGUAAUGUGAAUUGCAGAAUUCAGUGAAUCAUCGAAUCUUUGAACGCACCUUGCACUCUUUGGUAUUCCGAAGAGUAUGUCUGUUUGAGUGUCAUGAAACUCUCAACCCCCCUGUUUUGUAAUGAAACGGGCGUGGGCUUGGAUUAUGGCUGUCUGUCGGCGUAAUUGUCGGCUCGGCUGAAAUACACGAGCAACCCAUUUGAAAUAGACGGUUUGACUCGGCGUAAUAAUUAUUUCGCUGAGGACGUCUUCUUCAAAAGUUAGUGGUGCUUCUAAUGCGCUAUUAUAGCACUUUAAGCUUUAGACCUCAAAU
rnacentral:rRNA from 1 species